rnacentral:rRNA from 1 species
GAUGAACGCUGGCGGCGUGCUUAACACAUGCAAGUCGAACGGAAAGGCCCUGCUUUUGUGGGGUGCUCGAGUGGCGAACGGGUGAGUAACACGUGAGUAACCCGCCCUUGACUUUGGGAUAACUUCAGGAAACUGGGGCUAAUACCGGAUAGGAGCUCCUGCUGCAUGGUGGGGGUUGGAAAGUUUCGGCGGUAGGGGAUGGACUCGCGGCUUAUCAGCUUGUUGGGGGGGUAGUGGCUUACGAAGGCUUCGACGGAUAGCCGGCCUGAGAGGGUGGCCGGCGUCAUUGGUCCUGAGGUAGGGAGCAGUCGCGAACGGGAGGCAGCGGUGGGAAGUAUUGCACAAUGAGCGGACGCGUGAUGCAGCAGCGCCGCGUGCGGGAUGACGGCUUUCGGGUUGUAAACCGCUUUGGCCUGAGACGAGGCGUGAGUGACGGUAAUGGGUAAAGAAGCACCGGCUAACUACGUG